GCCUGCCCUCCUACAUUCUUUGAAAUUGAAAUGACUCUGUCCCAUGUACAGAGCAUCUACGAAGGCUAUGGAAAGUGAUCACGUCACAAGCAGGUUGCUGACGGGGGCUAGGGGAGCAGCUGAAGAAGCCUUACAGAAAAAGCUACCACUACGAUUUCUUUCUGAGCCAACCAUGUGCCUCAGACUUCUCUGCUGUGUGGCCCUUUCUUUCUGGGGAGCAGGCUCCACGGACACCAAGGUCACCCAGAGACCUAGACUUCUGGUCAAAGCAAGUGAACAGAAAGCAAAGAUGGAUUGUGUUCCUAUAAAAGGACAUAGUUAUGUUUACUGGUAUCGUAAGAAGCUGGAAGAAGAGCUCAAGUUUUUGAUUUACUUUCAGAAUGAAGAACUUAUUCAGAAAGCAGAAAUAAUCAAUGAGCGAUUUUUAGCCCAAUGCCCCAAAAACUCAUCCUGUACCUUGGAGAUCCAGUCCACGGAGUCAGGGGACACAGCACUGUAUUUCUGUGCCAGCAGCAAAGCCACAGUGCCGAAUGUUAGCCCUUCUUAGAACACAAACUCAUUAUGGACCCAGCUCAGGAAAUAAGUGUGUAGCAGGUUGGUAGGCACUACAUAACAGAAACCCA